GAUGCCCAGUUCUGAUUUUAAUACUUUGAAAUUUGUCAUCUGCAGCUUUGUCUGGGAACAAGUUCACUGUUUAAUCACUCAUGGUCUGCAAAAGGGUAAAUUCAGGGAUUACCUCCAAGAUUUCAAUAAUGCCUUCCAUAAAGGAUAAAAAUAGAGAUGGCUAUGUAAAAAUGUGUGGCCUGCACAAGACAUUACAAGAAUUCAAGCCUUAUCUUGAUGAUAAUGAUUUCAGCAGUUUUCUAAACAGCUUAGGAAUCAGCAUUCAUGACAGCAAGCUCUCUUAUUUUGAUUUCCUGAGAGCAAUUGAGGAUGGCAGAGCAUCUGAAUACCAGCAGAAACAAAAGCAGGCUGUACCACCUGCAAGCUUUGCAGAGCUCAGCGUACAACAAACCCUAAUAAAGAUAAAGGAAACAGUUACAUCAUCUUAGGAUUUGUUGUAUAAGGCAUUUUCUCUGUUGGAGAAAGAUAACAGUGGAGUAAGUAAGAACUGAAAUUUCAUCAAGUACUUGGCCAUUUCCCCUUUAAAUGAUGAGACAAACAGUUCAGGCACCUUCUCAAGAACCCCAGCUUUUGUGAGUAUUUCACAGUACACUGGGAAGUAUUCUGGGAAAUAUAAACUGCCUCAGACAUCAGAAGAGCCACCAAGCUAUAAUACAUUUCUUUAAAAGAUAGGAUUGGAUGUGUUAGCAAUGACUGAGUAAGCAUGUGAUUCACAUAUUUUCAAAAAGUCACACAUAUUUCUGUUGGCUUCUAUUUAACUCCACAAAUUCCUUACCCUCUUUCAAACUGCUCUAAUAAGUUAACUUGUACACUCACUUAGAUUUUGGUUUGGACAUGUAGCAAGCUGGAAGCAUGACCAUGGAUGCAGCCCAAUUGCUUCAUGUGGGUGAUUCAGGAUAUGGACUGUCCAAGUAUGUCAAAUGAUCCCUGAUGGACUGGAAGGAGCAUACAGAAAAAUGAAUGGAGUGGGAAUCUCACCAGGUUCUUGGUGCCAAACUAGAAUAGCAGAGUAGGUGUAGGAGGAAGGUCAAAUACAGAGAUUAAUCAAGUACAGAGAAAAUCUUGGCUGUAGUUAUGGACAGGGUCUUUUGAUGUACUGAAUAUGAGAGUUACAGCAACUCAGAUUAAACCAGAUUUGCUGUUUCUCUGCAGAGGUCAGUGCCAAGAGUGUCUCACUUGGUGCAGAUUGCAGGAGCAGAUCACUCAGUUCAUAAUCAUGUCCUGUCAGUGCAGCCAUCCUUACCAUGUUUGCAAAUAGGAGGAACAUUAUUAAAAGUGUAAACCAAAGAAGUCUGUGUGCUGCUAAUUUUCACUGUCCUUUCUUCUGUCUUCUCCCCUCUCUGUAGCAGCAGCUCUCUGACCACAGAAAGCAAUGCACAACUUCCCCAGGCACUGUCCUGGAAAAGGCUGUGAGAAGAUCAGAGAAAAGAAUGACAAACAAUUGUUAUCUUCACUUGCUGCACCUGUUGUUGUGAACAUGUGGAAUGUGUUAAGGAGAUCUGCCGCACCAAAGGGUGGUUUCUGAAUUGGCCAGUGGUGAUGGUGUUUAGAUUGAUGGAACAAUUGGGUCCACCUGUAUUGUGGCUGUCUGUAAGGGCAAUGGGUUUCUUAAUAAGUGUAGUGUAAUAAAGUGAUUGAUCAGCCUUUGGAGAAUCA
ensembl:lncRNA